rnacentral:rRNA from 1 species
AAUACAUGCAAGUCGAACGUGAAAGGGGCUUCGGUCCUGAGUAAAGUGGCGUGCGGGUGAGUAACACGUAGGUAAUCUACCCCGAAGCUUGGAAUAACCUGCCGAAAGGCGGGCUAAUACUAGAUAGUGCGAGAAUUCUGUAAGGGAAUUCUCGGGAAAGGGAGCUUCUUCGGGAGCCUCCACUUUGGGAUGAGCCUGCGCCUCAUUAGCUUGUUGGUAGGGUAAUGGCCUACCAAGGCAGUGAUGAGUAGCUGGUCUGAGAGGAUGAUCAGCCACACUGGAACUGAAACACGGUCCAGACUCCUACGGGAGGCAGCAGUAGGGAAUAUUGCGCAAUGGACGAAAGUCUGACGCAGCAACGCCGCGUGAGUGAAGAAGGCUCGCGGGUUGUAAAGCUCUGUCGAGCGGGAAGAAAAACCAGUAGGUUCAUAGCUUACUAGCCUGACGGUACCGCUAAAGGAAGCACCGGCUAACUCCGUGCCAGCAGCCGCGGUAAUACGGAGGGUGCAAGCGUUGCUCGGAAUUAUUGGGCGUAAAGGGGAGGCAGGUGGUCUCGUUUGUCUAAGGUGAAAGCCCUGGGCUCAACCUAGGAAGUGCCUUAGAAACGGCGAGACUAGAGUCUUGGAGAGGGUCGUGGAAUUCCCGGUGUAGCGGUGAAAUGCGUAGAGAUCGGGAGGAACACCAGAGGCGAAGGCGGCGACCUGGCCAAAGACUGACACUCAACUCCGAAAGCGUGGGGAGCAAACAGGAUUAGAUACCCUGGUAGUCCACGCUGUAAACGAUGGGUACUAGAUUUAGUAGGACUUGACCCCUGCUGAGUCGGAGCUAACGCAUUAAGUACCCCGCCUGGGGAUUACGGUCGCAAGACUAAAACUCAAAGGAAUUGACGGGGGCCCGCACAAGCGGUGGAUCAUGUGGUUCAAUUCGAAACCACGCGAAGAACCUUACCUGGGCUUGACAUCCUCGGACCGCCCUAGAAAUAGGGUUUUCGGCUUGCCGACCGAGUGACAGGUGCUGCAUGGCUGUCGUCAGCUCGUGUGGUGACAUGUUGGGUUAAGUCCCGCAACGAGCGCAACCCUUGUCUUUAGUUGCCAGCAUUAAGUUGGGCACUCUAGAGAGACUGCCGUGGUAAACACGGAGGAAGGUGGGGAUGACGUCAAGUCCUCAUGGCCCUUACGCCCAGGGCGACACACGUGAUAUAAUGGUCGAUACAGAGAGUUGCAAGGUGGUGACACCAAGCUAAUCUCAAAAAGUCGGCCUCAGUUCGGAUUGGAGUCUGCAAUUCGACUCCAUGAAGGUGGAAUCGCUAGUAAUCGCGGAUCAGCACGCCGCGGUGAAUACGUUCCCGGGCCUUGUACACACCGCCCGUCACACCAUGGAAGCUGAUUCUACCAGAAGACAGUGUGGCUAACCUUCGGGAAGCCGCUGGCCAAGGUGGGGUUGGUGACUGGGGUGAAGUCGUAACAAGGUA